rnacentral:rRNA from 1 species
CGUGUAGGCGGCCAAACAGGUCCGUUGUGAAAACUGGAGGCUUAACCUCCAGACGUCGACGGAAACCGUAUGGCUAGAGUCCGGAAGAGGAGAGUGGAAUUCCUGGUGUAGCGGUGAAAUGCGCAGAUAUCAGGAAGAACACCUAUGGCGAAGGCAGCUCUCUGGGACGGUACUGACGCUGAGACGCGAAAGCGUGGGGAGCGAACA